rnacentral:lncRNA from 1 species
UAAUAGAACUUUUGCUUAGGCUCCUUCGACAAGGCCUAACAGGGCUUCUACUAGAAGGAGUUGUUGUUUGAAAUUUGCUUCCAGCUUCUGCAUUUUUUAUGGCAGGAACCACCACAAAAAUUGGAUCUUUGAUGUCUUGAUGCCGCUGCUCACCAGUGCAUUCAAUCCCAUUGUGUUCUCUCUAUAUAUAUACGUCCAAUGUCUUCUUUGUUUACCACAAUCACAAUCAAAUCAAUUAGCAGGUUUUAUCCUCUAUUUUUCAAUCAUAAAUCACCAAUUUAACAUCCCAUUGAGCAAAAAAAUGGCAUUAAUCCUCCAAUCUUCACGUUUCUUAAAUUUUUGCAGUACUUCUACUCCCUCAACAUCAUCUUGUAGUUGCAAAAGAGGAUUUAUUAGAACGAAUAUUAAUAUCCCAAAUAAUCAGACAUUUAAAAUCUCCCUUCCCAGUAGGAGAAGAAGUGUAUUCCAUCCCAUUGUUUCCUUCAGCAGAACCCUGCCUCUUCUUUCGUGGAGGGCGCUCAUUAGAACCUCCUUCAUUAACUGGGCAUCUCUCUACUAUCCUUUGUCUAACAUCAUAGGUGUGUAGAAGCACUUCAAGUGUCCUAACAUCUAAACAAAGCAAAAACACUUGCCACAUGAGAGUCUGUAAGUUUUAUAUAGCAAUUUUCUUGACUGAAUUGAGAUAAGUAUCCAGGAAAAAUAACUUACCAGUAAAUUAUGAUUUGAGUGCUUCACAAGAGCAUUGUACUUGCUCAAUGCAUGGAGAAAAGGAGCACAAUACCCCAUCUAGUUUCAAUAUUUUUCCAGCAGAUGGAAUGACUUGAUAUGUUUGUUUGAUUCAUGAUUUAGUAGUUUGUGCAGUUUCUGUUAGUUGUCAUCAUGUUAUGUUUCCAAAGAGGCGAGGAGACUUGUUCUCUUUUGUCUCUGUUUGUGAAUAAUAAAUUCGAAUUAUGGUGUAUAUGUUAUUCAAGUCCUCUUUUUCUAUACAAUCAAUAAAAAGAUUAUAUCUCAAACUUUGGUCUUAAGUUGUUAGAUAUGAUAUCUUCUGCAGUAGUUACAAAUUUGAUAUCUGCUAUUGCGCAUUUGAUCUCAAACAUGAUGAUCCAAAUGAUAGACUAUUCUUCUCCCAAUAAUAUUUUUCAAGAAAUUUUGGGUGAAGAAUGCUCAAAGGCUGAUUUGAUAUCUUUGCUUGUAUGAUAUGCAUUUACAGAUAUACUAAAGUACUUCAUAGAUGAGACUAUACAUACUUUUAGGACCUUAAUGAAGCAGAUUCUUGAAAUUUUGCUUGUGUCCCUUUCUAGUUAUGGACUUUUAGUUUCAUAACCUUGCAAACUAUUAUCAGUUUUGUUGUUUGGCAACAUUUACUUCCUAUUAACAUAGUUAUUUUAUAAUUUCAGGUCAUACAAUUGAUGUUCGAUAAUUUAGCAGGUGAAAAACUUCAAUAUGACGAAGAGUUUCAGAGAUUAUUUGAAGAUUUUUAUUCGUUAAGAUUAGUUAUAUAAUGACAUUAGCUAUUUACUUCAAAAAAUAUGAGUUGUUUUUUAAGGUUUUAUGAUAUUAAUAUUUUAGAUUAGUACUUUCUUUUGUUUGUUAAGAUUUAACGAGAUAUACUAUAGUUGUAUGAAUUAAUAUCAAUAUGUUUUAAUAUUUG